rnacentral:rRNA from 1 species
UAGGGAAUCUUCCACAAUGGGCGCAAGCCUGAUGGAGCAACACCGCGUGAGUGAGGAAGGGUUUCGGCUCGUAAGGCUCUGUUGUAAGAGAAGAACGUGUGUGAGAGUGGAAAGUUCACACAGUGACGGUAACUUACCAGAAAGGGACGGCUAACUACGUACCAG